rnacentral:rRNA from 1 species
CAGCAGCCGCGGUAAUACGAAGGGUGCAAGCGUUUAUCGGAAUUACUGGGCGUAAAGCGUGCGUAGGCGGUGAGUUAAGUCUGCUGUGAAAUCCCCGGGCUCAACCUGGGAAUGGCAGUGGAUACUGGCUCGCUAGAGUGUGUCAGAGGAUGGUGGAAUUCCCGGUGUAGCGGUGAGAUGCGUAGAGAUCGGGAGGAACAUCAGUGGCGAAGGCGGCCAUCUGGGACAACACUGACGCUGAGGCACGAAAGCGUGGGGGGCAAACAGGAUUAGAUACCCCAGUAGUCCCUGUCUCUUAUAC